UACGUAGGGGGCGAGCGUUGUCCGGAAUUAUUGGGCGUAAAGAGCGUGUAGGCGGUUCGGUAAGUCUGUCGUGAAAUCCUGGGGCUCAACCUCGGGCGUGCGAUGGAUACUGCCGGGCUAGAGGGUGGUAGAGGCGAGUGGAAUUCCCGGUGUAGUGGUGAAAUGCGUAGAUAUCGGGAGGAACACCAGUGGCGAAGGCGACUACCUGGCCUGUUCUUGACGCUGAGGCACGAAAGCUAGGGGAGCAAACGGG
rnacentral:rRNA from 1 species